UGGGAUUUUACCGGGGCCUUUUAUUUUGUGGGGACUGUGGUUUCAACAAUAGUUAGAGGGACACUGUCAAGUGAAAAAUCACAUUUGUAAAACAAAAAGCAAAUGUCCCUAUGUGUAUUGACAUUAGGCACCUCACAUCUUUGAAUGGGAAGCAGGCUUUACAAUCUCACUGACUUUUCAUCAUUUAUGCUGACUUGUUUUUUGGCAUUUUACUCAACUGGGGCAGUGAAAGUAGUCAACUUAGUUUCAUUUGAGGUCACCAAUUCUGCAAUGACAAAUCCUGUAGAGGAACAUUUACAUCUAAACCAAAAACUUUGUCUUCACUGAUGUUUCUUGAUGGUUAGGUUUUGUAAAUCUUGUUCUAACAAAACCUAAAUUGAGGUUUGGUUUGGUUUGUUUGUUUGUUUUAAGGCCAGGAGGGACCAUUGUGAUCAUCUAGUCUUACAUCCUGUAUAACAUAUCCCAUAUAACACACUUUACAGUAUCCCAUUAACUGUAGAAUAUAGUAUGUGCAUUUGGCUUUACAAAUGUUGACUCUUAAAUCAUGCAAAUCCUUUGCUUUCUGUAGGACAAUCAACAAGUCUGUGUUCUGUACAUCUUGUUUUGUCCCUAUAUUUUUUCAGGGUUGGAGAAGCAGAAGAAAAGCCUGUAGGGAUAUAUGACUACUGAACAGAAAUCACAGGGGGGCUGAUGGUGUUGGACUUAGAGGGACAGCAAGUUUACAUAUAACACAUGAAGGCAAGCAACUGAAUAUUGACAAAAUGUACAAGUGCUUGUAUACAAAUGCUAGAAGUUUAAAUACUAACAUGGGUGAACUAGAGUGUCUGGCAUUAAAUGAGGAUAUUUAUAUACAGGCAUUGCGGAAACUUGGUAGAAUGAGGAUAAUCAAUGCGACAUGGUAACACCAGGUAGGAUGACCAGAUGUCCCAAUUUUACAGGGACAAUCCCGAUAUUUGGGGCUUUUUCUUAUAUAUUACCCCUCCCCCCCAUCAUUUUUCACACUUGCUAUCUGGUCACUCUAACACCAGGAUACAAUAUAUUUAGGAAUGACAGAGUAGGUUGUGCUGCGGGGGAGUGGCAUUCUGUGUGAAAGAAAACAUAAAGUCAAAUACAGUAAAAAUCUUAAAUGAAUCAAACUAUACCAUAGAAGCUCUAGGGAUAGAAUAAUGCUUGAAUAAUAAGAGUAUAGCAGUAAGAAUAUACUAUCGACCACCUGACCAGGGUGGUGACAGUGAAAUGCGCAGGGAAAUUAGAGAGGCUGCAAAAGCAGAAAACACAAUAAUAAUGGGGGAUUUCAACUAUCUCCAUAUUGACUGGGUACAUGUCACCUCAGGACAGUAUACAGAGGUAAAAUUUCUUGUCACCGUUAAUGAUUGCAUCUUGGAACAGCUUGUCCUGGAAUCCACAAGGGGAGAGGCAAUUCUUGAUUUAGUCCUAAGUGAAGCACCGUAUCUGGUCCAAGAGGUGAAUAUAACUGAACCCCUCAUUAACAGGAACCAUAAUGUAAUUAAAUUUAACAUCUUUGUAGGGGGGGAAAUGCCAAACUCACCACAGUAGCAAUUAGCUUAAAAAAGGGGACACCAUAAAAAUGUGGAAGCUAGUUAAGCAAAAGUUAAAAGAAACAGUUACAAGAGUUUAAUGCCUGCAUACGCAAUGGAGAUUAUUUAAAAACACCAUAAUAGAGGUUCAAACUAAAUGUAUAUCGCCAAAGGGGGGAAAAAAAGCAGUAAGAAGACCAAAAUAUGCCACUAUGGCUAAACAACGGAGUAAAAGAGGCGGUUAGAGGCAAAAAGGAAUCCUUUAAAAAUUAGAAGUCAGAUUUUAGUGAGAAAAACAAAAAGGAGCAUAAACGCUGGCAAGUCAAUUGUAAAAGUAUGAUAAGGCAGGUCAGGAAAGUAGUUCUUCAGAUUCUACCUUUAUGCUGUCUGGACUCUGAGGGGCAAAGAUCCCUAAACAUAAGCAAGAGAUCCUCAUGCAGCUUGGCAUGGGUCAGCCCUAAGGGACAUAGAGAGCUGCUUAUAAUAGAAGCUUAUAUUACCUUUUUAAAUCUCAGACUUUAACUCAUUUGUGUGUGUAUGCUUCCUGUUUUAACUUUGUAAAUAACUCCCUUAUUUCCUUUUUUCCGAGUUAAUAAACCUAUAGUUAAUUUAUUACAACCCCCUUCCCCCCCCCGCGCCACAAAAAUUAACAACAAUUUUUUUUUUAACUACAUCAAAAGCUGGAAGCCUGCCAAUCAGUGAGUGGGGCCACUGGACAAUCAAGGUGCUAAAGGAGCACUCAAUGAAGACAAGGCCAUUGUGGAGAAAGCUAAAUUAAUUUCUUGCACCAGGCUUCACUGCAGAGGAUGUGGAGGAGAUCUCCACACCCAAAUCAUUCCUUUUAGGUGACAAAUCUGAGGAGCUGUCCCAGAGUAAGGCAGCAAUAGAGGAGGUUUUUGGAAUAAAUUGACAAAUUAAACAUGAAUAAGUCACCAGGAUAAGAUGGUAUUCACCCAAGCGUUUUGAAGGAACUCAGAUAUGAAAUUACAGAACCACUAAGUGUGGUAUGUAACUUAUCACUUAAAUCAGCCUCUGUACUAGAUUACUGGAGGAUAGCUAAUGUAACUCCUAUUUUUAAAAAAGGGUCCAGAGGCAAUCCUGGCAAUUAGACAAGUAAACCUAACUUGAGUACUAGGCAAUUUGAUUGAAACUAGUAAAGAAUGGCAUUAUCAGACAUAUAGAUAAAUAAUGUACAGUAACUCAUCACUUAAAGUUGUCCCAGUUAAUGUUGUUUCGUUGUUACAUUGCUGAUCAAUUAGGGACCAUGCUCGUUUAAAGUUCUGUAAUGCUCCCUUCUAAUGUCGUUUGGCAGCCGCCUGCUUUAUCUACUGCUUGCAGGAAGAGCAGCCCCUUGCAGCUAGCUGGUGGGGGCUUGGAACCAGGGUGGACCGGCAGCCCCCAUAUCAGCUCCCCCUAAGUUUCCUGUGCAGCAGCAGCUGCCUGCAGUUCAGCUGUGUCCCUCCCCCUACUGCCAUGUGCUGCUCCUGCCCUUUGCCUUGGAGUUGCUCCCCGAGACUCCUGCUUGCUGUGCGGGGGGGAGGGAAGGAAGAGGGGGGCUAAUGUCAGGGUGUCCCCCUGCUCCUGCACCCCGCUUACCCCAUCUUCCAUAGAGCAGGGGGGACACACCAGGGCUCAGGAUGGAGGGAGCUUGCAGCAGCUGCGGCAAGCUGAUCUAAUUAACAAGGCAGUGUACUUAAAGGGGAAUGCACGUCUCCCUCCAUUCCUGCUGCCUUGUAAAGUGAGAGAGUUAACCUUUGAGGGCUCAGCCAAUUGCUAGUUCAUCAUUUAGCAGUAAGGGAAAUAUCCCACCUUCUGACUCCUCCACCUCAACCAAGCUUCACAAUCAUCAUCACUGUGUACCAGUAUUAAAUUGUUUGUUUAAAACUUA